UACGUAGGGGGCAAGCGUUGUCCGGAUUUAUUGGGCGUAAAGAGCGUGUAGGCGGCCAAACAGGUCCACUGUGAAAACUCGAGGCUCAACCUCGAGAGGUCGGUGGAAACCGUCUGGCUAGAGUCCGGAAGAGGAGAGUGGAAUUCCCGGUGUAGCGGUGAAAUGCGUAGAGAUCGGGAGGAACACCAGAGGCGAAGGCGGACGGACCUGGACAAGUACGUGACACUCAACUACGAAAGCG
rnacentral:rRNA from 1 species